rnacentral:tRNA from 1 species
GGAUGGGUAGUUUAGUUGGAUAGAAUACCGGCCUGUCGCGGCGGGGGUCGCGGGUUCGAGUCCCGUCCGCUCCGGCA